GCCAGCAUAGCUCAGACGGUAGAGCGGCGCUCUCGUAAAGCGCAGGCCAACGGUUCGAUUCCGUUUGCUGGCUCCA
rnacentral:tRNA from 1 species